AAUACCACAAUAAAGACAGACCAAGAAGAAGUUACCUUUGGAGGAUCAACAUCAGAGCACGGAUCAUAAAAGAGGAAAGUCGAGGACAAAGUGUUGUGCACAAUGACACUUUUCUUGUUAAAGCAACUUAUGUGGUAGCAGACACAACUGGAUCAACUGAUCUACGCUUUGGGGUACCCAAAAUGUGGUAGUUGGUUUCUGGUACAACAUCUUCAACCUAUCCAUCCGGCACUUUAAAGUGCAGACGCUGUAGGGGUACGGGUGAUAGCGAGACAGCAGCAUGAGGCUUUGUUAUGAAGGUCUCUGGAAGGUCUUUGGCACACUAGAGAUGAAGGCUUGAAAAGAGACUGUUGGAUCAGUUCUCCACUAAUACAUGAGCCGGAGCCAGAGUCAGCGUGACAUUACAGCUGACGCGCUGUCACAACGGUCGACGCCGCGUCGGCAGCCAAUGUGAGCCUCUUUCAAUGGGCUCCAACAGCAGGUGUGACUUCACAUUCAGUACUU
ensembl:lncRNA